CCUUCCCUUUUCAGUCCUGACACCGGGUAAUAAUAGAUAAUGUUGACUUAUGUUCCCCGCUGGUCAGAAAUACUAUACUUCUGUGAAAGGUAACAUUUUCAAGCUAUGACAAAAUGUAUUUUACUUGGACAGAACAUUAGUUAUUGGACUAGUGUCAGAACGUGGGCUGUGGGGUAAAACUUUUAACAUUUGAGUUGUGGGAGAAAGUUUGUUGGGAGAGUGGGGCAUCAGCACGGGGCGUGUUUAUCUUUCACCAGUUCUAAAGGUACUGGCUUAGUGUCAAGCACUUAUGUCCUCAGGAAUGUAAAGGAAACAUUCCCAUUAUGUAUGAAGAACAGCUGUCCACGGACACAGCAAUUUUUAAAAGUGAUUAUACCCAGCUUUACUGUAGUGUGGAGCAUGGAAUCAAAAGUAUUUUUUUCACUGUGUACCAAAGAAUUCUGUUUAUGGGCCAGUUCUGCAUGAGACAUAUGCUGUGGGUCUGUCGUUUGUUCUCCACGUGAUGUUCCCUGAAAUAUGUUUUACCAA
rnacentral:lncRNA from 1 species